rnacentral:rRNA from 1 species
UACGGAGGGUGCAAACGUUGCUCGGAAUUAUUGGGCGUAAAGCGCACGUAGGCGGUCCAUCAAGUCGAGUGUGAAAGCCCUCGGCUCAACCGAGGAAGUGCAUUCGAAACUAAUGGACUUGAGUACCGGAGAGGAUAGCGGAAUUCCCGGUGUAGAGGUGAAAUUCGUAGAUAUCGGGAGGAACACCAGUGGCGAAGGCGGCUAUCUGGACGGAUACUGACGCUGAGGUGCGAAAGCGUGGGGAGCAAACAGG